CAACUUACAGAGCUUUGUCCUAGGGAGCAAGUAACACCGUGACCAAAUCGAUCAACCUAGAAAGACAAUCCUGAAUUUGGGGAAAACAUAUAUAUAUAUACAUAUAUAUAUAUAUAUGUAUAUAUAUAUUUGUCAGAUAAGUAUUUAGCAGGCACUUUUCAACUAGGUCUACCUUUAAUCUUGUAGGAUGUAAAUAGCGCAGUUCUUGGUCUGGUAAUUCCUUGCCAUUACAAAAUAAAUAAAUAAAUAUAUAUAUAUAUAUAUAUAAUUUACAGACAUCUUAUUCUCAAUCUUCCUCUUACAUAGAUAGGUAAACACAUUUUGACAGAUCUUAUUCCAAGAGGGGGAAAAAAAAAAAGAAAGAAAGAAAGAAAGAAAGAAAAAGAUAAUUUAGGUUGGAUUUAAGUGUUUUUAUGGUCUGAUUUGUUGAGUGCAUUUCCAUUGCAACAUGUAAGGGGUUGUUCCAAAUUCCUGGUAUCGUAUUGAUGGCUGCAGGUUGGUCGGGAUUUUGUAUGUCAGACAAAUGAAGCUGAAUUCAUAGCCUGAAAACAGUUGCCAAUACAGUAACAGAACUGACAGUGAAAUCUGCCUUCCUUAUCUGGCAUGCAGUAAUAGGGUUUACCACCUGGCAUUGAUUUAAUUUCAGAGGUGUUAAUUGUUUGGGGGGAGGGGUGGGGGGAAGCUGAGUACCACCCACACGUGGAUCUGCAGCACCCACUGCAGCCAAGAGCCGAGCACAAACCUAUGAACAACGAGGAAACGUACAGCACUGCACCUGUACCUCGGCAAGAAAGCUCAGCCCGAGUGUUUUAAUGAAACAGUUGGUAUCACUGGGAGGAGGGGUGAGAAUACUCUGCAGCAGGCAGCCCCUUGCUGGAAAUGUUGACUAGCAGCAGGCAGAGGGGGCUCACACAGGAUCCCACCAGACACAUCUUUCCAUUUCUGAUGCUGAGCUACCAGAUCUGUUUUUCUGGAUGAUGGCAGCAUAUCCAGCUCUCACGCAGUUUGUCAGAGGUAUGUCAGUACACUGCUCAUCUCCAUGGUA
rnacentral:lncRNA from 1 species